GGUUAAGCGACUAAGCGUACACGGUGGAUGCCCUGGCAGUCAGAGGCGAUGAAGGACGUGCUAAUCUGCGAUAAGCGUCGGUAAGGUGAUAUGAACCGUUAUAACCGGCGAUUUCCGAAUGGGGAAACCCAGUGUGAUUCGUCACACUAUCAUUAACUGAAUCCAUAGGUUAAUGAGGCGAACCGGGGGAACUGAAACAUCUAAGUACCCCGAGGAAAAGAAAUCAACCGAGAUUCCCCCAGUAGCGGCGAGCGAACGGGGAGCAGCCCAGAGCCUGAAUCAGUGUGUGUGUUAGUGGAAGCGUCUGGAAAGGCGCGCGAUACAGGGUGACAGCCCCGUACACAAAAAUGCACAUACUGUGAGCUCGAUGAGUAGGGCGGGACACGUGGUAUCCUGUCUGAAUAUGGGGGGACCAUCCUCCAAGGCUAAAUACUCCUGACUGACCGAUAGUGAACCAGUACCGUGAGGGAAAGGCGAAAAGAACCCCGGCGAGGGGAGUGAAAAAGAACCUGAAACCGUGUACGUACAAGCAGUGGGAGCCUCUUUAUGGGGUGACUGCGUACCUUUUGUAUAAUGGGUCAGCGACUUAUAUUCUGUAGCAAGGUUAACCGAAUAGGGGAGCCGAAGGGAAACCGAGUCUUAACUGGGCGUUAAGUUGCAGGGUAUAGACCCGAAACCCGGUGAUCUAGCCAUGGGCAGGUUGAAGGUUGGGUAACACUAACUGGAGGACCGAACCGACUAAUGUUGAAAAAUUAGCGGAUGACUUGUGGCUGGGGGUGAAAGGCCAAUCAAACCGGGAGAUAGCUGGUUCUCCCCGAAAGCUAUUUAGGUAGCGCCUCGUGAAUUCAUCUCCGGGGGUAGAGCACUGUUUCGGCAAGGGGGUCAUCCCGACUUACCAACCCGAUGCAAACUGCGAAUACCGGAGAAUGUUAUCACGGGAGACACACGGCGGGUGCUAACGUCCGUCGUGAAGAGGGAAACAACCCAGACCGCCAGCUAAGGUCCCAAAGUCAUGGUUAAGUGGGAAACGAUGUGGGAAGGCCCAGACAGCCAGGAUGUUGGCUUAGAAGCAGCCAUCAUUUAAAGAAAGCGUAAUAGCUCACUGGUCGAGUCGGCCUGCGCGGAAGAUGUAACGGGGCUAAACCAUGCACCGAAGCUGCGGCAGCGACACUAUGUGUUGUUGGGUAGGGGAGCGUUCUGUAAGCCUGUGAAGGUGUGCUGUGAGGCAUGCUGGAGGUAUCAGAAGUGCGAAUGCUGACAUAAGUAACGAUAAAGCGGGUGAAAAGCCCGCUCGCCGGAAGACCAAGGGUUCCUGUCCAACGUUAAUCGGGGCAGGGUGAGUCGACCCCUAAGGCGAGGCCGAAAGGCGUAGUCGAUGGGAAACAGGUUAAUAUUCCUGUACUUGGUGUUACUGCGAAGGGGGGACGGAGAAGGCUAUGUUGGCCGGGCGACGGUUGUCCCGGUUUAAGCGUGUAGGCUGGUUUUCCAGGCAAAUCCGGAAAACUAAGGCUGAGGCGUGAUGACGAGGCACUACGGUGCUGAAGCAACAAAUGCCCUGCUUCCAGGAAAAGCCUCUAAGCAUCAGGUAACAUCAAAUCGUACCCCAAACCGACACAGGUGGUCAGGUAGAGAAUACCAAGGCGCUUGAGAGAACUCGGGUGAAGGAACUAGGCAAAAUGGUGCCGUAACUUCGGGAGAAGGCACGCUGAUAUGUAGGUGAAGCGACUUGCUCGUGGAGCUGAAAUCAGUCGAAGAUACCAGCUGGCUGCAACUGUUUAUUAAAAACACAGCACUGUGCAAACACGAAAGUGGACGUAUACGGUGUGACGCCUGCCCGGUGCCGGAAGGUUAAUUGAUGGGGUUAGCGGUAACGCGAAGCUCUUGAUCGAAGCCCCGGUAAACGGCGGCCGUAACUAUAACGGUCCUAAGGUAGCGAAAUUCCUUGUCGGGUAAGUUCCGACCUGCACGAAUGGCGUAAUGAUGGCCAGGCUGUCUCCACCCGAGACUCAGUGAAAUUGAACUCGCUGUGAAGAUGCAGUGUACCCGCGGCAAGACGGAAAGACCCCGUGAACCUUUACUAUAGCUUGACACUGAACAUUGAGCCUUGAUGUGUAGGAUAGGUGGGAGGCUUUGAAGUGUGGACGCCAGUCUGCAUGGAGCCGACCUUGAAAUACCACCCUUUAAUGUUUGAUGUUCUAACGUUGACCCGUGAUCCGGGUUGCGGACAGUGUCUGGUGGGUAGUUUGACUGGGGCGGUCUCCUCCUAAAGAGUAACGGAGGAGCACGAAGGUUGGCUAAUCCUGGUCGGACAUCAGGAGGUUAGUGCAAUGGCAUAAGCCAGCUUGACUGCGAGCGUGACGGCGCGAGCAGGUGCGAAAGCAGGUCAUAGUGAUCCGGUGGUUCUGAAUGGAAGGGCCAUCGCUCAACGGAUAAAAGGUACUCCGGGGAUAACAGGCUGAUACCGCCCAAGAGUUCAUAUCGACGGCGGUGUUUGGCACCUCGAUGUCGGCUCAUCACAUCCUGGGGCUGAAGUAGGUCCCAAGGGUAUGGCUGUUCGCCAUUUAAAGUGGUACGCGAGCUGGGUUUAGAACGUCGUGAGACAGUUCGGUCCCUAUCUGCCGUGGGCGCUGGAGAACUGAGGGGGGCUGCUCCUAGUACGAGAGGACCGGAGUGGACGCAUCACUGGUGUUCGGGUUGUCAUGCCAAUGGCACUGCCCGGUAGCUAAAUGCGGAAGAGAUAAGUGCUGAAAGCAUCUAAGCACGAAACUUGCCCCGAGAUGAGUUCUCCCUGACUCCCUGAGAGUCCUGAAGGAACGUUGAAGACGACGACGUUGAUAGGCCGGGUGUGUAAGCGCAGCGAUGCGUUGAGCUAACCGGUACUAAUGAACCGUGAGGCUUAACCUU
rnacentral:rRNA from 1 species